rnacentral:sRNA from 13 species
UUCAUUGAACAUUUCGAAGGGCUAUUAUGAAAAUAUUUAUUUAAAUAUUUUUAAACAAAUAAUAGCAUCAAAUUUGUUCAUAAAACAAAUGUAUAUACGGUGGCUUUUUAAAUUUUUAAUUUUAAAAGUGUCAAUCCAUAUAUAUCACAGCACC